UACGUAGGGUCCGAGCGUUAAUCGGAAUUACUGGGCGUAAAGCGCACGUAGGCGGAUUGUUAAGUCAGGGUGAAUCCUGGAGCUCAACUCCAGAACUGCCUUGAUACUGGCGAUCUUGAGUCCGGGAGAGGUGAGUGGAACUCCGAGUGUAGAGGUGAAAUUCGUAGAUAUUCGGAAGAACACCAGUGGCGAAGGCGGCUCACUGGCCCGGUACUGACGCUCUGCACGAAAGCGUGGGGAGCAAACAGG
rnacentral:rRNA from 1 species